rnacentral:lncRNA from 1 species
CUGGUGUCCGUGGGAGGCCAACCUCGAAUAAAGCUGACGGAGGAAUCCCAGAAGAGAAUACUGCCAGGGAGCAAGGCUGCCUUCCGGUUCCUGGACUCUGAGGGUGAUUUCCCUCUCUGUCUCCUUUGUCCUUUUUCCAGCUUACAGUCUUUCUCUGACGUUUUUCUUGCCUCUUACACAGGGUCUUUGCUACUGGACCUACUGCAGUUAGCAGAAGAGCCCCCACCCAAGGCUGGGCAGGAACUCAGGGUAUGGCUUCAGGGGGCCCAGGAGCCCUGCACUGUGAAGCCAGCCCAGGUGGAGCCAUUGCUGCGACUGUACCUGCAACAGGGACAGCCGUAUGAACCACUUCCAUCUCUGGAAGAGUCCAGAGCCUUUGCCCAGCAGUCCCUGAGCCGCCUCCGACCUGCUCAUAAGCAGCUGCAGAACCCUGCUGUAUACCAGGUCGCAUUGUCAGAGAAGCUUCGGGCACUGGUGGACAGUCUGAGUGCUCGAGGUGCCCUGUGAAAAAGAUCACAAAGAACACGACUCUCUCUUCCCACAACUUUGUCAGCCACGUGUCAUUAGUUCACAAAUUUCUGCUGCUCACUUGGGACUUCCAGGGCUGGGCUGGAGUUAGGAGUAUGAGGAGGUGCAGCCCCGGUGAAUAAAAAAAAAAAAAAA